CUUAAAACUACGCGAGUUUUGUUUCGCUUAUCAAACAUUGUCAAUAUGUCGACUUAUAUUACACUUUUGUUUGCCAUAAUGGCCGUCCUUCUUCUAAUUAUGGGUCUUGAGACCCACGCCUGUGUGCUACCUGCUGCGAUUCGCGUCGAAAAUGAUCUGGCUAGACGCAUAUUGGGAGUGGGAAUAGCGGGAUAGAUAAGUCUAUAGAAAAUAUUCUGUAUAUAAAUAAUAAAGUACAUAUUUUUGUAUAUUU